GGCGGCGUAGCUCAACUGGUUAGAGCAGCGGAAUCAUAAUCCGCGUGUUGGGGGUUCGAGUCCCUCCGCCGCCA
rnacentral:tRNA from 1 species